UUUCCGUAGGUGAACCUGCGGAAGGAUCAUUAUCGAAUAAACUUGAACAGGCUGUUGCUGGUCCCAUCUGCUGGGAUAUGUGCACGCUUGUCAUCUUUAUCAUUUCUCCAACUGUGCACAUAUUGUAGACCCUGGGGUUCUGGAUUCGUUCCGAGUUGGGACUGCUGUGCUAUAACGUCGGCUUUCCCUUGAACCAUUUCCAGGGCCUAUGUCAUUUCAACCUCUCAAACAUGUUUAGAAUGUUGAACCAGGUCUUUUUGUACCUAUAAAGUUGUAAAUACAACUUUCAGCAACGGAUCUCUUGGCUCUC
rnacentral:misc_RNA from 1 species